UAGUUGCUGCUUUCAAGAGGGCUGCCAAGGCAGCAGAAUCAAACAGCUCUUUCCCCUCACCUUCCUCAUCAGUGUCUACUUCCUCAUCUGAGUCUGUCACAAGUUGACCAUCAAUUCUCUGUGAAUGAUCAUGAGAAUUCUCUGCACCAGAAUAAGAACCAGCACCAGAACCUUGCUCCAACCUCUCCAAGAAUUUGGCAGCUUCAGAGCUUCCAAAAAUCAUUGCAUCAGUCUCACCAUCUGUCACCGAUCCAUCAUUCUCACCUUCUACACCUUGAUGAUUCUUUUCUUCAAUUUCAGCAUCUAGUUUAAAUUCCGCAUUUGUAACAGCAAUUGAUUCUGCAGAUUCAAGUAAAUCAGCUUUGACUGAUAGUUCAUCUUCCAACUUUUUGCUUGCAGCACUCACAUAAAGUUCUACAUCAUGAACAGCACGUGUUUGUGCAGUUUCCUCAAUAUAAUCAGUGGCCAGAGUUCCAUCUCUAUCCCCUACAUCAACCUCCACUGAGGUCUCAAUCUGUUCCAUUCCAUUACUGUCCACUUCUGCAACUUCAGUCUUGAAACCAGUAAUAGCUUCAACAUUUUUCUUGGUUUCAAUAUUCAAAUUAACUGGUUCUUCCAUAUCACUACUAACCUUAUCAAAACAAUUGUCCGGAGGCACACCAUCAUCAACUGGAACCUCUGCUCCUUUAAUUUCAGAAUACUUCCCUCCCUCCGCAUCUCCAACAACAGCCNACUCCCGACCCUGGCAAAGUGGCACGUACAGCCUCCAGAAACGAGUCCCCUCCACUAGUAAAUUUCCCAGUGUCAACUUUUUCAUUCCCACCACUGAAAAACUCUCCCUCUUCAACAGCCUCGCCCCCAUAAACUUCUGCUUUCUUCCCUUCAGCAGCUUCUGCAUCCAACUGACUCCCCUCGAUUCCUAGCUUCUCAGUCUCCUUCUCAAACAAAUUCAUAUCCAGACCCUUGCCGAUUUCCACCGAAACCUCCUUUCCUUCCACAAUAUCAAUUCCAUUUUUUUCCACAGAACGCUGAGCCCAAAUCAUCUCUAAACCCUUGUCCUCAUCCCUAACCAAUUCACCCUUCUCCAGGCUCCCAACUUUCGACUGUCCAACAACAUAUUUAUCAUCAUUAUCUUUUUCAUUCGCCAAUGAUGUCCAUACCGGCUCUUCACUUUUAAGUGCCGGAAAUUCCACAGGGUCAACAAAAGCGGAACCAGCACCACCCCAUCGAAAGUGGUUUUGUGGGGUUUCCCGGAGGGUAACUGGCUUCUCCGUCUCCAUUUCAACGUCCUCUUCACCACUCACAAACCUCCCAUCGCUACUCCCACUACUAACGUUAUUGUUAUUAUGAUCAGCAACCUCUAAAGUAUAAUUCCUAACUGAAUUAUCAAUAACAGAAUGAUUUGAAGAAGGCGAAGAUGACGAGGAAGUAUAAGAAGAAUGAGGAGAACCUGAUGAGUUAGAGAGAUGCGACGGCGUUUCUGGUACAUAAGGCUUGGAGUCCAUGGCGCUAAUAACACGAAGAAGCAAACAGGGGUAGAGCUAGGGUUUUUGGAAGCUGCGAGUAAUUGUGAUACCAAGCAAUGAUAAGAGAAGAUUGAGAGCGAGAUAAGGUUGGCAAGUGUGUGAAACUACAAAUCUCUCUCUCUCUCCUACCCUUGAGGCUUGAGGUCG
rnacentral:misc_RNA from 1 species